ensembl:snoRNA
UGGACCAGUGAUGACAGCUGGUGGCAAAAGACGAUGAAUAAUAUGUGUCUGGAAUUCUAAGGUCCAA